GGAGGGUAUAGCUCAGUGGUAGAGCACAUGCUUUGCAGGCAUGAGGUCAUGGGUUCGAUCCCCAGUACCUCUG